rnacentral:rRNA from 1 species
AGAGUUUGAUCCUGGCUCAGAACGAACGCUGGCGGCGUGGAUUAGGCAUGCAAGUCGAACGAGAAAGUGGGCUUCGGCCUGCGAGUACAGUGGCGAACGGGUGAGUAACGCGUGGGGAACCUGCCUCGGAGUGGGGGAUAACAUUCCUAACGGGGUGCUAAUACCGCAUGUAUUCGGUGAGUCGCAUGGCUUGCCGAGAAAAGGUGGCCUCUGUUUACAAGCUACCGCUUCAAGAGGGUCUCGCGUCCGAUUAGCUAGUUGGCGGGGUAACGGCCUACCAAGGCGACUAUCAGUAGCUGGUCUGAGAGGAUGGUCAGCCACACUGGGACUGAGAUACGGCCCAGACUCCUACGGGAGGCAGCAGUCGAGAGGCUUCGGCAAUGGGGGAAACCCUGACCGAGCGACGCCGCGUGGAGGAUGAAGGCUUUUGGGUCGUAAACCCCUUUCGUGGGGGAAGAAUGUAUGCGAGGUAAAUAAUCUCGCGGAUUGACCAACCCAGCAGAGGAAGCCCCGGCUAACUCCGUGCCAGCAGCCGCGGUAAUACGGGGGGAGCAAGCGUUGUUCGGAAUCACUGGGCGUAAAGGGCGUGUAGGCGGUUUGGUAAGUGAGGUGUGAAAGCCCCCGGCUCACCCGGGGAGGGUCAUCUCAUACUGCUGGACUUGAGUGCGGAAGAGGAUGAGGGAAUUCCUGGUGUAGCGGUGAAAUGCGUAGAUAUCAGGAGGAACACCGGUGGCGAAGGCGCUCAUCUGGUCCGUUACUGACGCUGAGGCGCGAAAGCUAGGGGAGCAAACGGGAUUAGAUACCCCGGUAGUCCUAGCCGUAAACGGUGGGCACUAGGUGUGGGGGGUGUCGACCCUUUCCGUGCCGUAGCUAACGCAUUAAGUGUUCCGCCUGGGGAGUACGGUCGCAAGGCUGAAACUCAAAGGAAUUGACGGGGGCCCGCACAAGCGGUGGAGCAUGUGGUUUAAUUCGACGCAACGCGAAGAACCUUACCUGGGCUUGACAUGUACCGGACCGGUGUAGAAACACACCUUCCCUUCGGGGCCGGUGCGCAGGUGCUGCAUGGCUGUCGUCAGCUCGUGUCGUGAGAUGUUGGGUUAAGUCCCGCAACGAGCGCAACCCUUGUCCUUAGUUGCUACCGAGUAAAGUCGAGCACUCUAGGGAGACUGCCGGUGGUAAGCCGGAGGAAGGUGGGGAUGACGUCAAGUCCUCAUGGCCCUUACGCCCCGGGCUACACACGUGCUACAAUGGCCGGCACAAAGGGUUGCAAUACCGCGAGGUGGAGCUAAUCCCAAAAAACCGGUCUCAGUUCGGAUUGCAGUCUGCAACUCGACUGCAUGAAGGCGGAAUCGCUAGUAAUCGCGAAUCAGCAGGUCGCGGUGAAUACGUUCCCGGGCCUUGUACACACCGCCCGUCAAGCCACGAAAGUUGGCAGUGCCCGAAGUCGCCGAGGUAACCGUAAGGAGCCAGGCGCCGAAGGUAAGGCCAGCGAUUGGGGCUAAGUCGUAACAAGGUAACC